GGAUUAGAUACCCUGGUAGUCCACGCCGUAAACGAUGAGUGCUAAGUGUUAGAGGGUUUCCGCCCUUUAGUGCUGAAGUUAACGCAUUAAGCACUCCGCCUGGGGAGUACGGCCGCAAGGCUGAAACUCAAAGGAAUUGACGGGGGCCCGCACAAGCGGUGGAGCAUGUGGUUUAAUUCGAAGCAACGCGAAGAACCUUACCAGGUCUUGACAUCCUCUGAAAACCCUAGAGAUAGGGCUUCUNCCUUCGGGAGNCAGAGUGACAGGUGGUGCAUGGUUGUCGUCAGCUCGUGUCGUGAGAUGUUGGGUUAAGUNCCCGCAACGAGCGCAACCCUUGNUCCUUAGUUACCAGCACGUAAUGGUGGGCACUCUAAGGAGACUGCCGGUGACAAACCGGAGGAAGGUGGGGAUGACGUCAAAUCAUCAUGCCCCUUAUGACCUGGGCUACACACGUGCUACAAUGGCAUAUACAAAGAGAAGCGACCUCGCGAGAGCAAGCGGACCUCAUAAAGUAUGUCGUAGUCCGGAUUGGAGUCUGCAACUCGACUCCAUGAAGUCGGAAUCGCUAGUAAUCGUGGAUCAGAAUGCCACGGUGAAUACGUUCCCGGGCCUUGUACACACCGCCCGUCACACCAUGGGAGUGGGUUGCAAAAGAAGUAGGUAGCUUAACCUUCGGGAGGGCGCUUACCACUUUGUGAUUCAUGACUGGGGUGAAGUCGUAACAAGGUAACC
rnacentral:rRNA from 1 species